rnacentral:tRNA from 1 species
GGAGAGGGUAUAGCUCAGUGGUAGAGUGUGUGCUUAACAUACACAAGGUCCUGGGUUCAAUCCCCAGUACCUCCA